rnacentral:ncRNA from 2 species
ACUCAGUUAUACGACUGACGGAAAGUGGAAAGAACCACAUGGAAGUAUAAUGUUAAGGAGUCGACCGUCUGGGCUAGCACC